rnacentral:miRNA from 10 species
CAAUGCUUCUGCAAAGCAAAUA